UUAUUGCAUCGAGAGUAGGACGAAAGUCCUCGCCAACCUGCUUACCCAAGCAAGGUGGUCCAAUAAUGUGGCCCUUACAGGCAACCAAAUGGGAAUCC
rnacentral:ncRNA from 1 species